AUUGAACGCUGGCGGCAGGCCUAACACAUGCAAGUCGAGCGGAUGAAGGGAGCUUGCUCCUGGAUUCAGCGGCGGACGGGUGAGUAAUGCCUAGGAAUCUGCCUGGUAGUGGGGGAUAACGUCCGGAAACGGGCGCUAAUACCGCAUACGUCCUGAGGGAGAAAGUGGGUGAUCUUCGGACCUCACGCUAUCAGAUGAGCCUAGGUCGGAUUAGCUAGUUGGUGGGGUAAAGGCCUACCAAGGCGACGAUCCGUAACUGGUCUGAGAGGAUGAUCAGUCACACUGGAACUGAGGCACGGUCCAGACUCCUACGGGAGGCAGCAGUGGGGAAUAUUGGACAAUGGGCGAAAGCCUGAUCCAGCCAUGCCGCGUGUGUGAAGAAGGUCUUCGGAUUGUAAAGCACUUUAAGUUGGGAGGAAGGGCAGUAAGUUAAUACCUUGCUGUUUUGACGUUACCAACAGAAUAAGCACCGGCUAACUUCGUG
rnacentral:rRNA from 1 species